CGGGCCAAGUCCCUUGGAACAGGGCGUCCUGGAGGGUGAGAGCCCCGUACGCCCGGGUCGCCUUCGCCGUGUGAAGCUCCUUCGACGAGUCGAGUUGUUUGGGAAUGCAGCUCCAAGCGGGAGGUAAAUUUCUUCUAAAGCUAAAUACCGGCCAGAGACCGAUAGCGCACAAGUAGAGUGAUCGAAAGAUGAAAAGCACUUUGGAAAGAGAGUUAAAAAGCACGUGAAAUUGUUGAAAGGGAAGCUCUUGCCGCCAGACUUGCCGCGGUCGCUCAGCCGUCCUUCUCGGUCGGUGCACUCUUCCGUCGGCAGGCCAGCGUCAGCUCGGGCGGCCGGACAAAGGCCCCGGGAAUGUAGCCCCCCUCGGGGGGUGUUAUAGCCCGGGGCGCAAUGCGGUCAGCCCGGGUUGAGGCACGCGUUCGCCAGGACGCUGGCGUAAUGGCCGCAAGCGACCCGUCUUGAAACACGGACCAAGGAGUCUAACAUCUGUGCGAGUGUUUGGGUGUCAAACCCAUGCGCGUAAUGAAAGUGAACGGAGGUGGGAACCCUCGAGGGUGCACCAUCGACCGAUCCUGAUGUCUUCGGAUGGAUUUGAGUAAGAGCAUAGCUGUUGGGACCCGAAAGAUGGUGAACUAUGCCUGAAUAGGGUGAAGCCAGAGGAAACUCUGGUGGAGGCUCGCAGCGGUUCUGACGUGCAAAUCGAUCGUCAAAUUUGGGUAUAGGGGCGAAAGACUAAUCGAACCAUUGAACUCAAGCUACUAGGUGGUUGACAGGCGCCGAAAGCCAGGGGCUUUGGCGUCUAGCCGGCGGGGCUUCGACCCCUCGACCGGGGGGUUUCUGAAGCCCCCGUCCGGUGACAUGACCAACUUGCGGGGACAUCCUCAUCGCCCGCGGCUACCGCGGCUCCGACACGCCGGUUGAGCGCAGCACCGGGCUUUGAAGCCCGGGGAUGGUAAAAACGCCGUGGGAUUGGACGAUCCGCAGCCACGCCCCGAGGGCAUCCGAUUUGACGGUGCACUCGGGGUUCGGUCCACGGACUAUAGGGUCACGGGCGGCGAGUUUUGCCGCUUAAGAUAUAGUCGGAUACCUUCGAGAGAAGCCGGCCCCCCCCCGGCUCGUGGGGGGACGCCUCGGGCGUCAAAACAAAAGGCCAGGGAGCCAGUCGCUAGUAGCUGGUUCCUGCCGAAGUUUCCCUCAGGAUAGCAGUAACGUUUUCAGUUUUAUGAGGUAAAGCGAAUGAUUAGAGGCCUUGGGGUUGAAACAACCUUAACCUAUUCUCAAACUUUAAAUAUGUAAGAAGCCCUUGUUGCUUAAUUGAACGUGGGCAUUCGAAUGUACCGUUACUAGUGGGCCAUUUUUGGUAAGCAGAACUGGCGAUGCGGGAUGAACCGAAAGCGGGGUUAAGGUGCCGGAGUGGACGCUCAUCAGACACCACAAAAGGUGUUAGUUCAUCCUGACAGCAGGACGGUGGCCAUGGAAGUCGGAACCCGCUAAGGAGUGUGUAACAACUCACCUGCCGAAUGAACUAGCCCUGAAAAUGGAUGGCGCUCAAGCGUCCCACCCA
rnacentral:rRNA from 1 species